AUUGAACGCUGGCGGCAUGCCUUACACAUGCAAGUCGAACGGUAACGCGGGGCAACCUGGCGACGAGUGGCGAACGGGUGAGUAAAGCAUCGGAACGUGCCCAGUAGUGGGGGAUAGCCCGGCGAAAGCCGGAUUAAUACCGCAUACGACCUAAGGGUGAAAGGGGGGGAUCGCAAGACCUUCCGCUAUUGGACCGGCCGAUGUCAGAUUAGCUAGUUGGUGGGGUAAAAGCUCACCAAGGCGACGAUCUGUAGCUGGUCUGAGAGGACGACCAGCCACACUGGGACUGAGACACGGCCCAGACUCCUACGGGAGGCAGCAGUGGGGAAUUUUGGACAAUGGACGAAAGUCUGAUCCAGCCAUGCCGCGUGCGGGAAGAAGGCCUUCGGGUUGUAAACCGCUUUUGUCAGGGAAGAAAUCCUUUGAGCUAAUACCUCGGGGGGAUGACGGUACCUGAAGAAUAAGCACCGGCUAACUACGUGCCAGCCGCCGCAGUAA
rnacentral:rRNA from 1 species